GACGAACGCUGGCGGCGUGCCUAACACAUGCAAGUCAACUUGACUGAAGGAGCAAUCUGACAGUAGAGUGGCGCAAGGGUGCGUAACGCGUAAGUAACUUGCCCCAAGGUAAGGAAUAACGUCGAGAAAUCGGCGCUAAUACCUCAUAAUGCAGCGGAUCCGCAUGGAUAAUGUUGUUAAAGGUUUACCGCCUUGGGAUAGGCUUGCGUCUGAUUAGCUAGUUGGUGUGGUAAACGGCACACCAAGGCUACGAUCAGUAACUGGUCUGAGAGGAUGAUCAGUCACACUGGAACUGAGACACGGUCCAGACUCUACGGGAGGCAGCAGUGAGGAAUAUUGGGCAAUGCUCGAAAGAGUGACCCAGCAACGCCGCGU
rnacentral:rRNA from 1 species